rnacentral:rRNA from 1 species
CCUACGGGUGGCAGCAGUAGGGAAUAUUCCACAAUGGGCGAAAGCCUGAUGCAGCAACGCCGCGUGAGUGAAGAAGGUCUUCGGAUCGUAAAACUCUGUUGUUAGGGAAGAAAGUGCGUGAGCGUAACUGUUCACGUUUCGACGGUAUCUAACCAGAAAGCCACGGCUAACUACGUGCUAGCAGCCGCGGUAAUACGUAGGUGGCAAGCGUUAUCCGGAUUUACUGGGUGUAAAGGGAACGGAGGCGGGAUGUUAAGUCUGAUGUGAAAGCCUUCGGCUUAACCGGAGUAGUGCAUUGGAAACUGGGGGACUUGAGUGCAGGAGAGGAUAGUGGAACU